AUGAAUCUGUAUCUGCACCCUAAGUUAUGGCCACAGUUAGCAGGAACUAAAACCUUACAUGUGGCUGAUGCUCAGAGAGUGAGGAAAAUCACAGUUCAUGAUGGCAUUUGGGACGCAGAGCUGCCAAGAGCAAAAAGAAACCAUUCAUAUCACCUUAGAUACCACGGCUCUUCCUACUCCAGGUGCUUCCUGGAGAGGUAUAGAUGCAAAACUAUAGGAGUCUUUAGAAGAAGCAACCAGCCGGACUGUCUUGAAACGCGAUCAGAAAAAGCCAAGAAUAGAGAUGGGGUUGUUCAGGAAAAAUCUGUGAGGACCCUCUUUUCUGAAUGUGUGAAUCAAUGUGACAUACGUAGAAGACCCACAAGAUUUUUGAGAAUGUUCUACCAUCAGAAACACUUCCAACUGGGCCUAAAAGGGACAGAGACAGAAAAAAAUGAAAGAAGAUUGUGA
ensembl:lncRNA DIAPH2-AS1 DIAPH2 antisense RNA 1